GGGGAACCUACUUUUUAAGUUCGGAUUCUCUCAGCCGGCGCUGUCGGUCCUGGAUGUAAGCAGUCGGGUCAAAGCGAGGCGCUCGGGACCCUGCGAGUAAGUGGCAAAGUUCCUACCGGUGGGCGAAGGUGACGACCUUCGUGCGAGAGCGUGGGGCCCCGUCGAGUCCGCCCUUCUUCCUCUUUCCGUUGACCUUUGCACUCUGUCUCCUCUGCGUUCUCUGGAUCCCGAGCGACCCCGGACAGGGUUGCGUAAGCGACAGAUCUCCCCGCAUCCGGACAGGGGCGUCCCUUUGCUUCAGAAACAAGACCGCCAAAAUGUUUGGUGACCGGGGGUGCAGCCCAGUACCAAAUGGCCCACGGACCGCAGCAAAGCAACCAUUCAAACAAAGACAUAACACGAAAGCCCAUCUGCUCAACGGGUUCAAAGGAUUCCUCCAAAUCUGAAAUGUCUCGCUCUUGAUUCACUCAAGUUCAAGGCUAUUUUACAAAUGUCCAGUUUCUGUCGCCAUUCAUGCCCACCUUUGAAAAUCCCCCCAAUUCCACAAUGACAAAGACCACCUUCGACCUACUCUGCUCGCAAGCGGUGGAUUUCGACCUCCGCAGACUUGUCGACCCCCUGAGAAGUGAGCGCG